rnacentral:misc_RNA from 1 species
GAUGAAGAACGCAGCGAAAUGCGAUACGUAAUGUGAAUUGCAGAAUUCAGUGAAUCAUCGAAUCUUUGAACGCACAUUGCGCCCGCCAGCACUCUGGCGGGCAUGCCUGUUCGAGCGUCAUUUCAACCAUCAAGCCCCAGGCUUGUGUUGGAGCCCUGUGGCUGCCGCAGCCUCCUAAAAGCAGUGGCGGGCUCGCUAUCACACCGAGUGCAGUAGAUUUCUCUUCGCUCAGGGCGUGUGGCGGGUUCCGGCCGUGAAACCCCCUACUCUUUAAGGUUGACCUCGGAUCAGGUAGGAAUACCCGCUGAACUUAAGCAUAUCAAUAAGCGGAGGA